UCACUUCACACGUUAUCAGCACUGCUUCGCUCUUGCCAUUUUGGAACUUGCCGAGGAACAAGAACAAGGGGAGGCCCCCUGGCCUCCACCACUGGAAGGUAAGAACAAUGGCGCUCAGAAACUCACCGUCAGUGAACCUUCUUGUUCAAGCCGUCUGCAACGUUCUUCGUCAAGUCCUGCGUCGACCCGUCCUCGGACUCCACAGCCGGAGUCAUCCUAUGCACCUUGGCCGCCGCGACAUCCGAGUCCAGAACGCUGGAGUACGUCUUCCAUGCCGCAGCCACGCCCUGCUUGAGGUCGACAACCGCCACGCUGAACCUCUGCGCAUCGCCGGCCCUUGUCGCGGUAUUCGUCGUCUUCAUGCUAUGCGCGUUGGAGGCCGUCGUCGUCCGCACCCUCAACGCCUAACGCCGAAUCACGAUGCCGUCAGACCAAGCACCUGGCUCCAGGCCGCGAACCCGGCGCCGCCCCCACCGCACCAAGCCGCGGCACCAGCGCCGUCUCCACCGCACCAUGUUGCCACCCCGAGGAAGCCACCACGUUGGAUGCCCUCACACCGCUCAUUCCCCUUGCCGACACCCGCUUCAUCAUCUUCCACGCCGGUCUUCAUCCCGGGACUCCAUGCCGUGGCGGCGCCGUUACCAACUCUGGCUCCCCCGGACUUCGGCGGGCACAGCACCUUCACCAGCAACGGCGGUGGCAGCCCAGAGCGCGGAUUCCCCAUGGCAGCGCGGCGCGGAGCCACCCCCUUCUUCAACCCCGGCACUGGGACCGGCGGAUCCGCCGCCCCUGCACCACCAGCGCGGGCAGGAAGCCCGCUGGAACGCGAUGGCGGUGGCAAAUCGGAGCCCGGGCCUCAUCCGCACGUGGGUCAAUGUUCCCCACGGCGAAGCGGCCUGGCGCCACCGAACGGCAUCCACCAGGAGCAGGGAUCCUCCUCCACGUCGGGGGAGUACAUGCCGGCCUAAGCCGGCCACCGCGCGGAGGAGCAAGCGGCCGGGGGACCGGCGGCGGAGGACCUGGCGGCGGCGGCGGCGGUGGUGGAGCAGUGAAGGGAAAUCCUAACCCUAGCCAGCCAGCCAGCUUGCUGAAUGACCCGAGUUGGGCCGAAAAUGGGCCUGAGAGGCCGAAUUUGUUACCUGCUCCUUGCCCGGUUUUAUUUAUUUUUAAUAUUUUUUAAUCAUUAUUUACAGAAAUUAUACUUAUUUUUUUUUACAGAAAUAGCCAUCGUGGCUAAUGGCGCCAAGGGAUCUGGCGCCAUGGUCCAGGGCGCUAGGAUACAUUUAGAUCCUGACACUCUGUGAUAUUGGGAUCUGCCCAUGGCGCUAGGAUCCAAAUGUAAAUUAUUUUUUAACAUUUGGAUCCUGACGCCCUAGGCCACAGCGCCAGGGUCCCACAUCCCUAUAAAAUCUCCUUCACUUUUAUUUCCCUCCUCAUUUUAUCCUCACGCGACCAGAAAGAGAGGGGCGAGGAGUGAGUGAGGAAAGUAGCGAAGGUCUGCCGGAAUUUUCACGCAUCACUUUCAGGGUUUACCGCGGCUCACCACUGAGUCACAUCGAGCAGAGGGAGCAUCUAUUGAGGUCUAGGGAUCAAGCUUUGUACCUCCUCAACACGUUUGGCUGGUAUUCUCAAGUUGAAUCCUCGCAGGCCCCACCAGCACAGUCACAGUCGUACAACAUAGGAUCGCGGAUGCCUAUGAGACCUUCAUCAUAUAUGGGAGUGGGACCUUCUCAUGCUCCCACUCAGAUCUACGCGAGAUCGUUCUUCACAGUACCGCGCGUGUGUACGGGAGCCGAAAUGCAUAUAGGAGCCGGUUCUGCUCACGCCACAGGGAUGUUCGGAUCUUCGCACGUGGCGACACCCAUCUUCGAGGGUCUCAACACCAAUGACCUGCUUUGUUUCUCCAUGGACGAGCUGUGUGGAACCGAUGGCAAUACCAAUUUCGACAUUCUCGGUUCGUCACAGAUAGGAGGCGCUCAACUCUACCCAUCACAGAACGCACCUACACAGACCCUACUGCCAGAGCCACGUCCAACUCGAGACGUAGCUUCUCCGGAUCGUUUUACCUACUCCGAAGGUCACGUUCGCGCGCAGGACCAGACAAGGAGGACACAUCGUCGUGGGGAAGGGUAGACUAGUUUCGCUAUGUGUUUGAUGGACUGUAACACAUGAACUUAAUAAUAAUUCAUGCGAAGUUGCAUUUAGUUUA